CCACAUACGCAUCCUUUGCUGAGGAUACGGUUAACGGAGCGAAAGCGACGUUCAACCGCAAAAGAAGCAGAGGGGGCUUAGUGGUGGGGUGACUGCGUACCUUUUGUAUAAUGGGUCAGCGACUUAUAUUCUGUAGCAAGGUUAACCGUAUAGGGGAGCCGGAGGGAAACCGAGUCUUAAUUGGGCGUUAAGUUGCAGGGUAUAGACCCGAAACCCGGUGAUCUAGCCAUGGGCAGGUUGAAGGUUGGGUAACACUAACUGGAGGACCGAACCGACUAAUGUUGAAAAAUUAGCGGAUGACCUGUGGCUGGGGGUGAAAGGCCAAUCAAACCGGGAGAUAGCUGGUUCUCCCCGAAAGCUAUUUAGGUAGCGCCUCGUGAAUUCAUCUCCGGGGGUAGAGCACUGUUUCGGCUAGGGGGCCAUCCCGGCUUACCAACCCGAUGCAAACUGCGAAUACCGGAGAAUGUUAUCACGGGAGACACACGGCGGGUGCUAACGUCCGUCGUGAAGAGGGAAACAACCCAGACCGCCAGCUAAGGUCCCAAAGUCAUGGUUAAGUGGGAAACGAUGUGGGAAGGCCCAGACAGCCAGGAUGUUGGCUUAGAAGCAGCCAUCAUUUAAAGAAAGCGUAAUAGCUCACUGGUCGAGUCGGCCUGCGCGGAAGAUGUAACGGGGCUAAACCAUG
rnacentral:rRNA from 1 species